rnacentral:rRNA from 1 species
CGUCUAUAUACGUAUAGCAUAUCAAUAAGCGGAGGAAAAGAAACUAACAAGGAUUCCCUUAGUAACGGCGAGUGAAGCGGGAAGAGCUCAAAUUUGAAAUCUUCAAGGUUCUACCUUGACGAAUUGUAGUUUAAAGAAGUGUUUUCUGUUAGAGGAGUAGCAAAAGUUCCUUGGAAUGGGACAUCAUAGAGGGUGAGAAUCCCGUAUUUGGUUAUUCUUUCUAGCUUUGUGAUACACAUUUCAAAGAGUCGGAUUGUUUGGGAAUGCAGUCCAAAAUGGGUGGUAAAUUUCAUCUAAAGCUAAUAUUGGCGAGAGACCGAUAGCGAACAAGUACCGUGAGGGAAAGAUGAAAAGAACUUUGAAAAGAGAGUUAAACAGUACGUGAAAUUGUCAAAAGGGAAGCGUUUGACACCAGUGUUGUUUUUCCGAAAAUCAAUUAAGAACGUGCUUGAUUUUGUGUUGUAUUGACCUUAUCAGCUUUCUUCACUCUUUUUCGAGUCUUUCUUAAUGCACUUUUCGGUUAACAAGUCAACAUCAAUUUCUUUUGUUGUAAAGGGUAUUUGGAAGGUGGCUUUCUUUUCGGAGGAAGUAGUUUAUAGCCUUAUACCUCUACAAUCGGAGAGAUUGAGGUCUGCAGCGUAGAUCCUUCGGGGCUAGAUACACUUGUGCUAAGUUAUAGCUUUUCAUAGACAACUUGUUGACUAUGUUUAGUCAUGUAGCUUACCCGCUUGUAGCUAUUUUACCUACGCUUAGGAUGUUGAGUCAUCACACAUCUCU